CGAUGUCUGAUUAGCUAGUUGGUGGGGUAAGGGCCUACCAAGGCGACGAUCAGUAGUUGGUCUGAGAGGACGACCAGCCACACUGGGACUGAGACACGGCCCAGACUCCUACGGGAGGCAGCAGUGGGGAAUUUUGGACAAUGGGCGCAAGCCUGAUCCAGCAAUGCCGCGUGAGUGAAGAAGGCCUUCGGGUUGUAAAGCUCUUUCAGUCGAGAAGAAAAGGCUGCAGUGAAUAACUGUAGUUUAUGACGGUAUCGACAGAAGAAGCACCGGCUAACUACGUGCCAGCAGCCGCGGUAAUACGUAGGGUGCGAGCGUUAAUCGGAAUUACUGGGCGUAAAGGGUGCGCAGGCGGUUUUGUAAGUCAGAUGUGAAAUCCCCGGGCUUAACCUGGGAAUUGCGUUUGAAA
rnacentral:rRNA from 1 species